rnacentral:rRNA from 1 species
UAGGGAAUCUUCGGCAAUGGACGAAAGUCUGACCGAGCAACGCCGCGUGAGUGAAGAAGGUUUUCGGAUCGUAAAACUCUGUUGUUAGAGAAGAACAAGGACGUUAGUAACUGAACGUCCCCUGACGGUAUCUAACCAGAAAGCCACGGCUAACUACGUGCCAGCAGCCGCGGUAAUACGUAGGUGGCAAGCGUUGUCCGGAUUUAUUGGGCGUAAAGCGAGCGCAGGCGGUUUCUUAAGUCUGAUGUGAAAGCCCCCGGCUCAACCGGGGAGGGUCAUUGGAAACUGGGAGACUUGAGUGCAGAAGAGGAGAGUGGAAUUCCAUGUGUAGCGGUGAAAUGCGUAGAUAUAUGGAGGAACACCAGUGACGAAGGCGGCUCUCUGGUCUGUAACUGACGCUGAGGCUCGAAAGCGUGGGGAGCAAACAGG